rnacentral:rRNA from 1 species
UACGUAGGGGGCAAGCGUUGUCCGGAUUUAUUGGGCGUAAAGAGCGUGUAGGCGGUUUGGUAGGUCCGCUGUGAAAACUCGAGGCUCAACCUCGAGACGCCGGUGGAAACCAUCAGACUAGAGUCCGGAAGAGGAGAGUGGAAUUCCUGGUGUAGCGGUGCAAUGCGCAGAUAUCAGGAAGAACACCCGUGGCUAAGGCGGCUCUCUAGUACGGUACUGACGCUGAGACGCGAAAGCGUGGGGAGCGAACAGG